UACGUAGGGUGCGAGCGUUGUCCGGAAUUAUUGGGCGUAAAGAGCUCGUAGGCGGUGUGUCACGUCGGUCGUGAAAACCUGGGGCUUAACUCUGGGCUUGCGGUCGAUACGGGCAUCACUUGAGUUCGGCAGGGGAGACUGGAAUUCCUGGUGUAGCGGUGAAAUGCGCAGAUAUCAGGAGGAACACCGGUGGCGAAGGCGGCAUCCUGGACCGA
rnacentral:rRNA from 1 species